ACUCACACACACAGCACUCACACACACAGCACUCACACACACACAUCACUCACACAAAGCACUCUCACACACACUGCACCCUCACACACACACACUGCACCCUCACACUCUGCACCCUCACACUCACACACACACACACAGCACUCACACACACUGCACCUUCACACACACACACUGCUCUCACAAACACUCACACACACACAGCACCCUCACACUCAAACAGCAUCCUCACACUCACAGCAUCCACACACUCACACACAGCACCCUCACACAUACAGCCCCCUUAUACACACUGCACCCAUCUCACACACACACUGCACCCUUCACACAUACACACAGCACCCCAACACAUAGAUCCCCUAUGCACACAUAUAUUCCUUGUAGGCAAACACAUACUACAUUCCCUAAACACACACUCUCUACCACCCCUACACACACUACUUCACCCAUACAGACACACUACAGCUCGUAAGCACACAUUAGAUACAUCCCCUAUACACACUAUGUCCCAAAUACAGCAACCAGAUACACAUACAUUACACUGCAAACACCACAUGACUGAAACCAACCUUUUUACACAAUACCACACCACAAUCAGAUCACUCUACACAUACGCAAUCCCACAAGCUAACUCCAAACACAUGCACGAUACUUUUUCCUGGCACUUUUGUCUCCUGGUG